GAGGGGGAGAGGGGGGGGGGGGGGGGGGGGGGGGGGGGGGGGGAUAAAAAAAAAACAAACAAACAACAACAACAAAAGUCAGAAGAGAGUGGAGCACCCGGCCAGGCGCCAGCAGAGCACAACAAACCGGGAACAGCCGUAACGGAGAGAAGGGAACGUGCGGAGGAAUCGGCCCGGAGCGGAGCCGGGGGGGCUGAGCGGGGCGCGGAGUGCGAGAAAGAGAGAGAGGGGAGAGCGCUGGGGUGGGCCCGCGGCGGCGGGGGCAGCCCGGCCGGCUCGCGGGGAAGGAAGGAAGCGAGGGGAGAAGCCAGAGCCGCUCCGCGUUCGGAAGGAAGGAGAAAAAAACCCCAUAUGAAGGAAUAAAGAAGCAGAAUCCGAAGCGGCUCGAGAAAUAAAUCAGCGCCGGGAAGGGGAGAGCAGAGGGAGAAGUACGGUUGAAGAGCCGCUGGAGCGAGCCCGAGCUCCCGGGGGAGAAGGAAGGUUGGCCCGUGGAGAGGCAGCCAGCAGCAAAGCAGCCGGUCCUUCUCCGCGGCUUUUUCACGUCCGAAGAGUUUGCGGCGGGGUUUCCCGGCUCCCUGGGGAGGCUCCGCGGGAUGAAGCGGGCAGCGGAGAGCCGCGCCUUGGCGGGAGGCUUAGCGCAAGCGGACACGCUCAGGGAGCCGCGGUGACAUCCAGAAGUCCUUUGAAUUUCACAUGUUUUUCCAAUCGCUCAAUCCAAAAUAUAUGGUGUCCUCCUUUCCCACCCCCCACCUCUUUCCUAGGAAUGUGCGUAAUAAAACCUAAUCGCCUGGGACUCUCCUACUUUCUGCAUCUGCUGGACACGAAGUCCACCCGGCUCUGAAGCUGAGCUGCUAUGGGACGCCCGGCGGCCUCGGUCACGUCUGCAAGUGGGAAACCCCGAAUGAGCCUUUGCGCUACAUUAACUGUCCCGCUGCCGUCCGGGGCUCCCUCGGACGCAGCAGCCCUCUUCGCCUCCUGCAGCCAUCUCCGAAGCGGAGAUCGGGACGCUCACCCCAGGAGCGCAACUCCGGACCAAGACAAAGUGUGCGUGCCGGGGGUGGGGGCUGGGGUAGGUUAAACUUCUCAAUAUCUAUCUAUCUAUCUAUAUAUUCUAU
rnacentral:lncRNA from 1 species